rnacentral:lncRNA from 1 species
AGCUUGCGGGCGCCGAGUGCUGCGGGAAGGGAGGGAGACCCCGGAACACACCAGCCGCCUCUGUCCGCUGGGCGACGCUGCUCAGAGUGAGCGAUCGCCCGGGGCUCCAGGCGGGGACGCCUUUCUGCCGUCUCGAAUUUACGGUGAUUAAACACCUCCAAGCUGCCACUGUUCUUCAAAUAUCUUGGAUCACUCUGAGCACGCAUUUCGGUUGUGAAAGCAAAAAGGAAAAGGAGCAACCCAAAGCCUAAAGAAAACUGUUCUCGUCCGGGCAUGGUGGCUCACGCCUGUAAUCCCAGCACUUUGGGAGGCCGAGAUGGGUGGAUCACCUGAGGUCAGAUUCGAGACCAGCCUGGCAAACAUGGUGAAACCCCCGUCUCUACUAAAAAUACAAAAAAAAAAACAAAAUAGCCAGGCGUGGUGGCGGGCACCUGUAAUCCCAGCUACCUGGGAGGCUGAGGCAGGAGAAUCGCUUGAACCCAGGAGGCGGAGGUUGCAGUGAGCUGAGAUUGUGUCACUGCACUGUAGCUUGGGCAAGAAGAGCAAAAAACCCUGUCUCAAAAAAAAAAAAAAAAAAAAAAAAAAAAAGAAAAGAAAAAGAAAAAAGAAAAAAAAAAGAGAAAAAGAAAACUCUUUUCCACCAGGAUUAGCCACAGUGGGUUGCUUGGAGGCAGAAUUGUUGUUCCUUAUUAAGACCUCAUCAUUGAGAAAAACAAAAUCUGAGUAUGAAAGUUUUUGCAGCUGACCAGUGAGCCAGGUGUCUUGGUCUAGUGCUGGUGUGUUACACUCCGGAAGGGCUUCUCCUUACUCGUUCUGCUGAAUCAAAACGCCUUACAGGGUACCAGGCCCUCUCUCAGGUUGCUCAUUCUACCUCCUGUCUUAUCUCACUCAUUCAUUAAACAUUUGUGCAGCACCUGAUACCCUGCCUGUCCCUUCUCACAGGCAACCAGAUGUUGUCCUCGUCUUAAGGAGCCAGAUGAUGUGGGUUUCAGCCGUGGAAACUUAGCAAACUUACUUCAGGCCAGCUCGAUGGCUCACACCUGUAAUCCCAGCACUUUUGGAGGCCGAGGCAGGAGGAUCGCCUGAGCCCAGCAGUUUGAGACCAGCCCGGUUUCGCAACACAGCGAAACCCCAUCUCUACACAAAAUACAAAAAAUUAGCCAGGCGUGGUGGCGCCUGCCUGUAGUCUCAGCUACAUGGGAGGCUGAGGUGGGAGGAUCACUUGAGCCUGGGAGUUCGAGGCUGCAGUGUGCUGUGAUCCCCCUACUGCACUCCAGCCUAGGCGACAGAGCAAAAGACCCUGUCUCUAAACAACAACAACAACAAAAAGAAAACAACGAAAGAAAAAAAAAGAGAAAACUUACUUCAUCUGUCUGAAGCUUGGUGUUGUCAACAGUAAAAUGGAGAUGGCAAUAUCUGCUCUGUCUCCACCCAGCAUUGUUGGGAAGCGCAGCAAAGAUAAUAACGUUCACAAAAGCAUUUGAAUGUCCCCGUGUAUGUAAGGGGAGCUAUAAGUUCAGUGCCUUCACUGCUUAAUGAUGACUUUUCCUGUCCCUACCCCCCUUCACGAGUCCCAAGGAUCUGUUAGUGGCCUUUAUUUCCGAACAACCAGGUACGAUAUCAGAGCCCAAGGCUAAAAAAAAAGGAGGGAUCCUCCCACACACAGUUCUUUGCUAAAGCUGACCGAGUAAAACUGUAAACUGUCCAAGUCCUAACCCCCACUGUUGCAGAGGAACAGGUGCACUCUCACAUCUUUCUGUCUUAUAAAUACACCUCAUGCUAUUGUGGGCUGAAACAGUCCCUUCUUGUAUUAACUGCAGUGCCUAU